rnacentral:rRNA from 1 species
CCCAUGUGCCUAUAAAACUCAAUACAACUUUCAGCAACGGAUCUCUUGGCUCUCGCAUCGAUGAAGAACGCAGCGAAAUGCGAUAAGUAAUGUGAAUUGCAGAAUUCAGUGAAUCAUCGAAUCUUUGAACGCACCUUGCGCUCCUUGGUAUUCCGAGGAGCAUGCCUGUUUGAGUGUCACUAAAUUCUCAACCACUCCAGCCUUUGCAGGUUGGAUGUGGCUUGGAUGUUGGGGGU